GUCUUCUCCUGCAGAUCAACUGUUUAACAUCAUCCCAGCUCAUUCAACACAUGUACGCAUGAUAUAGUCUACCCUUCUCUUCUGUGGCUUUUGUUUGAUGAGCAGAAGUAGCUUUUACCCAGAGGUUGUCUGGUUGGCGUUUGGGAGCCUGUGGCCGCAUCGUUACCAGCUGGAGUCACAGUGUGGAUCAGAUGUCCCACCUGGUGCCAGAGAGCUGCAGAGACCUGUGAAGCCUCCUCAGUGUGCUGGACAUCUGUAUCUGAUGGGGUAGACUGAUGUGUAAAGGCCUUUUCCCCUUCCGUUUACUUUUACAUUGAGUUUUAAAUAUUGUCCAUAUGUGUUUUUUUGUAUAUUUAAAAAUAUAUCAAUUAUGGUUCACAUUGCAAUAAAUUCAAUAUAUUUGCACUAA